rnacentral:rRNA from 1 species
UACGUAGGGGGCAAGCGUUGUCCGGAAUCAUUGGGCGUAAAGAGCGUGUAGGCGGCCAGAUAAGUCCGCUGUGAAAUCUCGAGGCUCAACUUCGAGCUGUCGGUGGAAACUGUCUGGCUAGAGUCCGGAAGAGGAGAAUGGAAUUCCUGGUGUAGCGGUGAAAUGCGCAGAUAUCAGGGAGAACACCCGUGGCGAAGGCGGUUCUCUGGGACGGUACUGACGCUGAGACGCGAAAGCGUGGGGAGCGAACAGG